rnacentral:lncRNA from 1 species
CGCUCACCUUGGUCUAUGUGAGUAUUAAACAAUGGACACAGAUGGAUUCAUGACAAAAUUGUGUUUUGGUGAUGGUGAUGUGUUUGUAGAUCUUACUUUACUAAACAUUCUUGCUGCUUACAAUUAUCUCUAUUUAUAACAGUACUUUCUGUGGAAAAUGUUAUUGAAAAUCUUCAAAUUUUAAGAAAAUUGUUAAAAAUUGACUAUGAAGGGUCAUAACUCCUUAGGGGGUCAAUUGACUAUUUUGGUCAUACUGACUUAUUUUUAGUUCUUACUUUGCUGUACAUUAUUGCUGUUUACAGUUUAUCUCUAUCUAUAAUAAUAUUCAAGAUAAUAACAAAAAAAAACAGUAAAAUUUCCUCAAAAUUACCAAUUCAGGGGCAGCAACCUAACAACCGAUUCAUCUGAAAAUUCCAGGGCAGAUAGAUCUUGACCUGAUCAACAAUUUUACUUCCUGUCAGAUUUGCUCUUAAUGCUUUGGUUUUUGAGUUAUAA